AACGAACGCUGGCGGCAGGCCUAACACAUGCAAGUCGAGCGCGGUUUUCGGACCUAGCGGCGGACGGGUGAGUAACGCGUGGGAACGUGCCCUUUGCUACGGAAUAGCCCCGGGAAACUGGGAGUAAUACCGUAUGUGCCCUUCGGGGGAAAGAUUUAUCGGCAAAGGAUCGGCCCGCGUUGGAUUAGGUAGUUGGUGGGGUAAUGGCCUACCAAGCCGACGAUCCAUAGCUGGUUUGAGAGGAUGAUCAGCCACACUGGGACUGAGACACGGCCCAGACUCCUACGGGAGGCAGCAGUGGGGAAUCUUAGACAAUGGGGGAAACCCUGAUCUAGCCAUGCCGCGUGAGCGAUGAAGGCCUUAGGGUUGUAAAGCUCUUUCAGGUGGGAAGAUAAUGACGGUACCACCAGAAGAAGCCCCGGCUAACUCCGUGCCAGCCGCCGCGGUAA
rnacentral:rRNA from 1 species